ensembl:lncRNA
GUGGCAGGAGAGUGAGGAGGGACAGGAGAUGAACGAGUGACUAGGUGUGGCAGGAGAGUGAGGAGGGACAGGAGAUGAACGAGUGACUAGGUGUGGCAGGAGAGUGAGGAGGGACAGGAGAUGAACGAGUGACUAGGUGUGGCAGGAGAGUGAGGAGGGACAGGAGAUUAAGGAGUGAAUCAGGUAUGACAGGAGAGUAAGGAGGGACAGGAGAUGGAGGCACGUGUUGUGAAACUGAUUAAAAAGUAUAACAAUAAGUCCUUGAUACUAUUGAAAGGCAAAGUGUGUUUGUGAGUUUUUGUGUGUGUAUGUGUGUGUGUGUCUAUGUAUAAGCUUGUGUGUGUUUGUUUAUUUGUAAAUUAAUCGUUGUGUGUUAUUCUUUGUGCGUGCGUU